rnacentral:rRNA from 1 species
GAUGAACGCUGGCGGCGUGCCUAAUACAUGCAAGUCGAGCGAACAGAUGAGGAGCUUGCUCCUCUGACGUUAGCGGCGGACGGGUGAGUAACACGUGGAUAACCUACCUAUAAGACUGGGAUAACUUCGGGAAACCGGAGCUAAUACCGGAUAAUAUAUUGAACCGCAUGGUUCAAUAGUGAAAGACGGUUUUGCUGUCACUUAUAGAUGGAUCCGCGCCGCAUUAGCUAGUUGGUAAGGUAACGGCUUACCAAGGCGACGAUGCGUAGCCGACCUGAGAGGGUGACCGGCCACACUGGAACUGAGACACGGUCCAGACUCCUACGGGAGGCAGCAGUAGGGAAUCUUCCGCAAUGGGCGAAAGCUUGACGGAGCAACGCCGCGUGAGUGAUGAAGGUCUUCGGAUCGUAAAACUCUGUUAUUAGGGAAGAACACAUGUGUAAGUAACUAUGCACGUCUUGACGGUACCUAAUCAGAAAGCCACGGCUAACUACGUG